rnacentral:rRNA from 1 species
GACGAACCGAGCGAACGUUGUUCGGAAUCACUGGGCUUAAAGGGCGCGUAGGCGGGCAUUCAAGUCCGUGGUGAAAUCCGGCAGCUCAACUGUCGAAUUGCCGCGGAUACUGGGUGUCUCGAGGGAGGUAGGGGCGUGCGGAACUAAUGGUGGAGCGGUGAAAUGCGUUGAUAUCAUUAGGAACUCCGGUGGCGAAGGCGGCACGCUGGACCUCUUCUGACGCUGAGGCGCGAAAGCUAGGGGAGCAAACAGG